AUUGAACGCUGGCGGCAUGCUUUACACAUGCAAGUCGAACGGUAACAGGGUGCUUGCACCGCUGACGAGUGGCGAACGGGUGAGUAAUGCGUCGGAACGUGCCGAGUAGUGGGGGAUAACGCAGCGAAAGUUGUGCUAAUAACGCAUACGUACUGAGGUAGAAAGUGGGGGACCUUCGGGCCUCACGCUAUUCGAGCGGCCGACGUCUGAUUAGGUAGUAGGUGAGGUAAAGGCUCACCUAGGCGACGAUCAGUAGCGGGUCUGAGAGGAUGAUCCGCCACACUGGGACUGAGACACGGCCCAGACUCCUACGGGAGGCAGCAGUGGAGAAUUUUGGACAAUGGGCGAAAGCCUGAUCCAGCCAUGCCGCGUGUCUGAAGAAGGCCUUCGGGUUGUAAAGGACUUUUGUCGGGGAGGAAAUCCCCAGCGUUAAUACCGCUGGGGGAUGACAGUACCUGAAGAAUAAGCACCGGCUAACUACGUGCCAGCCGCCGCGGUAACAC
rnacentral:rRNA from 1 species